CAGAAGUCCAGGUACAGUGUGACUCAGCUGCUGUGUCUUCCUGAGUCUCAAGCUAUUGAAAUCAAGGUGUUGGCGCAGCAGUCUCUUCUGCAGUCUCUGUGGAUGAAUUCAUUUUCAAGCUGACUCAGGCUGUAGGCCCACUCAGUUUCUUGCAGUUGUAGGAUAGAGGUGCUUGUUGCUAUGCUGAUAGACAGCAGGGGCCCAGUCUUUGUUCUGGAAUCUGCCUGAUUCCUUCUCAUGCUUUCCGUGUGGCCGUGAUCCUGUAACAGCAGGUUGAGUCUCUCACUUCACAUCUCUCUGACUUCACCUUCUGCCAAAUCUCUCUGACUCCAGCUGGAGGAAUUUAUCUGCUUCUAAAGACGUCACAAACAGGUCACAAGUUGCACAAAGGGCUCCCGUGGACACUCCUGAUCCAGAACAGCAGAAGGCACCUUGGGCUGAGGGCACCUGCAAGGGAGGACUGUGUGUGUCUGCACCGGGAUCUACACUGCACUGGCACUGCAUAAGCCCCAGCACCUGAGAAACAACCAUCCUUCAAAGAAAGGACAAUUCCCCAAAUGAUGGAGCAUAGAUUUCCAUCACACAUGCAGCACAGGUGUUAAAACUGGAUUCUAGAAAAAUUCAUUUUUACUUUUCACACACUUAUAUCUGUGGGUAGAGAAACCACUCACAACAAAUGUUAAGAUACUCUUUCUGUCUUACUACAGACAUUUCCACCUGGUUCUUUCUCAAUUCUAAAAUUUUUAAUUAGUGCAUUUUGACAUAUGUCACUUUAUCUUCAUGUGGUAGGAAAAUUAUUUUCUUUUUGUUUUCUGACUUUGGCAUUGCCUAUGACAUGUUUUUGAGACACUAAGUGGUAUAGUAAUCUUACCCCUAAACAAUGUUAGGUGGAAAGGAAGGCUCAUUUUAGAGUGAGCCAUGUUGGAAGUGUUCCAUUUCAUUACAAUCUGUACCUUCAAGGGACUCUCAGUGAAACAGGAAAACAUGAAAACAAUAAGUUAAGGGCAAGAAUUUAUAUAUAAAUAAAUGGUAACUAGAGCUUCCUGAAGGUGCUUUGGGGCAGCCCAUAAGCAAUAUUUUCCAGGCCAUUGGGGUCUUCAGGGUUGUCUACCCACCCCUGCUGUCAGUCAAGGGUAAAAAUAAAUAACAAAACUGUUCAUCACACCUGAAAUCAAAUAUUUUCUCACAGGAAUGCCAAAUAUUUGAACAAUUAAAUCAAAUUGUGAAGAUAGUGGUCUAAGGUAAGGGUCAGCAAACUUUUUCUUAAAUGUCGCGAUAGUAAAGGGUUUUGACUUUGUGAUCAUGUAUGGCCUCUGUUAUAUACUCACAUGUAUGCCCACACACUUACAACUCUUUAAAAAUGUAAAAUCCAUUCUUAGCUCACGGGUCUACAAAUUAAGGUUGAUAGUUUGCUGACUCCUAGUCUAAGGUGUAGAGGAAAGUUUGCAACUCACGAAAAAUAUUGUUAACUUCCUAAGUCCCAUGGGCCUUGAUGCAUACAUCAGGAGCAGGUGCAGCUACACUGCCUCUCGGGUGGCAGUGGAUGCAGUUGAUGAGGAAUACUUGGUAGUGCUACAAUAAGAGUAUAAAGAAAAAGGGCUCGAUUAUUCCAGGUAAGGUAGGGAAAAGGAUCACGUGGAAAUUGAUGAGUUGGAAUGACAUAUUUUGAGUAUACUUUAUACAAUCUAAAACAAUCACAAAAAGUAUAGAGACAGGUAGAGUUAGCUAGAGAUAGAGAUGCAGAUAGUGGAGAUGAUUGCUCAGUGACAUUAAGGUGUACAGUGUGAAGUUGCUGUUGUCGCAACUGGUUUCAGCUUCCAUGGGCCUUUCAAAAUCUGUGCUUCUAACCAGUCUUAAGAAGUCUAAUACUUAAAGUGUUUUUUCAUACAAAAUCCCCUCAAGUAAACCUUCAGUUUGUAAGCAGCAAAAACAAUGGUCAAUUCUAAACUUGUAGGAAACCUUACUUUGCUGGACUUACUGAGGAGAAAGUAUGUUGUUAUCUAAAAUGGUACCUUCCUAAGAGAUUUUCAGAAAAAUGUUUGCCCUAUGUCAUCUUUUUCCAUAUGUAUUAAUUUUAGAAUUUAUAUAUCCAAAUAAAAUGUUUCAUCAUUGAUUGUAUACUGAUUCUGGAAGGGUAGAUAUUCAGCCACUGCAUAAUCAAAGCCAGGAAACAUGUUUAAAGUCAUCGACAGUUUGAAAGAAGACCUAGUUUGAAAGCAGAAAGAAGUGAUUAUGGAAUUACGCUUGUGAGGGGAUAGACCCAUCUCCUGGUAAGCGCUAGGUCUUUGGAGUAUAGUAUUAAUGCAUUUUUUAUAUUGUAUAUGUUCUAUAUGAAUAUACCUUAUAAGUGGUGUGAAGACCCCCAGCUCAGUGAUAACAUAUAAAUGACAUAAAUGAGCUGUCUUACCAUUUGAUAUAGCAAUUUUAUCAGCGUUUUAUCAAGUGGGAGGAGAGCUCAUUUAUUAGAGACUCUAUAAUCCAGACAACUAACUGAUACAGGUAACAGUGAAGUAAACAUUGAGACAUGUUUCCAGUCAUUCACUUACAUUGCAUUUACUGAGCUUCAAUUUUGGUCAGACUGAAGGUAUAUGAUGAGAUUCCAAGGAAAUCUUGGAUAUAAUUAAAACAAGUCUGAUGUAAUUUUUAAAAAUAUUAUGAUUUGUGGCUUUUUCCAAUGUAGGAAAUGACCUUUCCCUAAAUACUCUGUAGUGUGACUUCAAAAUUUCUAUUCCCUGAUUUCAAUACAAUACAAUAUGUAAACAAUAAAAUUUCUAUUUGAACCCUAACAUCUUAUUUAAAUGUUUAUGUGUAGAUCCAAAAUGUUACUGUAUGGGUUUCUACAUCUAUGAGACAGUUACUUACCCCAUUCUUGUCAUCCAGCAAUAGGUGUAACAGUAAAACUACUGCACAGAAUUAUUCACAGAUUAAAGAUGUACAGAUGGUGUAAAUAGUAUCUGGCCCACAGCAAACACUCAAGAAAUGUUGGCUAUUUAUGUUAGAUAUUUUAAUUUUAAAAUUCCAUAUCUUGAUAAAAGCUAGGGCAGGGUAGAGUAAGAAUUAUUUUAUAGCUAUGAAAAUAUCUCUUUAUUCAGAUCAGCUCUUUUCAGAGCAUUAAAAAAUACUGAAGAAGAGAAAUAAUAUAAUUUAGCAGUGACAUUAUAUUUUCGAAGCUGCUAUAAUUGUACAUAUGCUCUCCAUUUCCUUACCAUUCUAUGAACAGUAAGAAACAGUUUCUAAUGUAUAAAAUUACUUGUUCUAAAACAUACUUAACCUUUAAAAUAUAUCUCUUAGAUAACUGAUAAUUCCUGCUUUGUUGCUGAAAACUCACUACUCUUAA
rnacentral:lncRNA from 1 species